AAAAACCGGCGUGCAAAACGCCGGCCGUGACAACCAAACAGCCAUGAAUCGCCGGGCAGGAGCGGCGCAGGCGACGCAUGUGCGUCCGAAGAACCUGAGGCUAAGGUAAAAAGUUUAAGAACCUGCAGUCAAUGCCAAGCGAUUCUACCAGCGUUUAAUGAUCCGUCAAUGCUAAAGACUUCUGUUUCAAUUACUUACAGU
rnacentral:sRNA from 1 species